rnacentral:other from 1 species
AAUUUCCUGCGGUGUGCGUGUAACGGGAAAUGUCUUGAGCCAACGUUCUAACCCCGCGGAGAAUUGCUCCGGACCGGCGGAUGCGGCGGACGUUGCACAAGCUAAGGCUCGGGAAUUCUCCAUCCUUGAUGGAGCGGGUCAAGACAGUCCGUUCACGGCAUUGCGGGAUAUUU